rnacentral:misc_RNA from 1 species
CCGCCCAAGGUAAGAUUGAUGAUUAGGGUGAAGUCGUAACAAGGUAUCCGUACGAGAACGUGCGGAUGGAUCACCUCCUUUCUAUGGAGUUAAUACUUUAUAGUAAUUAACUAGUUUUAAUGAACGUUAUGUUUAGUUUUCAGAGAUUAGUUUCUCUGACAAUAGCAAGUAAAUGUUAUUGGAAUUGUUCUUUGAAAACUGGAUAAUAGACAUCUUGUUAUUUUAAUCACUUGAUUAAAAUAACAAUAAUUCAAAAUUUCUGUUAUUUUUAAAAAAUAACUAAAAUUUCACAGUUAUAUUUGUAAAUAAUUCUCAAAAAAUAAUUUAAAAUCAAGUCAAAUAAUUUAUAAAAAUUUGAAGUUACAAAGGG